UCCCUGGUAGUCCAGUGGUUAAGACUCCCCAUUUCCACUGCAGUGGGGGCACAGGUUCAAUCCCUGGUCAGGGAG
rfam:TPA: Bos taurus chromosome 21, whole genome shotgun sequence.